rnacentral:rRNA from 1 species
UAAGACGAACCGUGCGAACGUUAUUCGGAAUCAUUGGGCUUAAAGGGCGCGUAGGCGGCGGUGUAAGUUGGAAGUGAAAUCCCAUCGGCUCAACCGUGGAAUUGCUCCCAGUACUGCAUCGCUCGAGGGGGAUAGGGGUUUGCGGAACUACCGGUGGAGCGGUGAAAUGUGUUGAUA